UGCAACAAGUUCAUAGAACUGUGCAAGUAAUAGAGAAUAAAGUCAUGGAGAAAGAGUACACAGACUAAUACAAGUACUUCAAGCCACUUGUUGAUGGUCUGGCUGACAUUGAACACAACACAAGCCUGACCAACAGAACCCUGCUUCGUGUUGUCAAGUGUUUGGAGGCUAAUAAGUUUGUUCUUCCUGACAUAUCAGAUGAAGAAAUUGAGCCUUUUUGUAAGAAGGGUGACAAGUGCACAUGGCACAAGGGACAACACAAAAGACAAGAGGAAGGAGAAUCUGAACAUGAUGAAGAGGAAGGAGAAUCUGAACAUGAUGAAGAGCAAAGAGAAUCCCGUGAACAUGACAGCGAGACACCUGCCAAGCGGCAGCAAGGGCUUUCAGGCACUAAUAUAGGUGAUGAGGGUGACACAAACAGUAAUGCCGAAGGGACGGUGCGUCGGUCAAACAGGAACUCAAAAACCAAUAAAGAA